GGGCCCGCACAAGCGGUGGAGCAUGUGGUUUAAUUCGAUGAUACGCGAGGAACCUUACCAGGGCUUAAAUGUAAGUUGCAUAAGCUAGAGAUAGCUUUUUCUUCGGACUACUUACAAGGUGCUGCAUGGUUGUCGUCAGCUCGUGCCGUGAGGUGUCAGGUUAAGUCCUAUAACGAGCGCAACCCCUGUUGUUAGUUGCCAUCGAGUAAUGUCGGGAACUCUAACAAGACUGCCGGUGCAAACCGUGAGGAAGGUGGGGAUGACGUCAAAUCAUCACGGCCCUUACGUCCUGGGCUACACACGUGCUACAAUGGCCGGUACAGAGAGCAGCCACUACGCGAGUAGGAGCGAAUCCCACAAAGCCGGUCUCAGUUCGGAUAGGAGUCUGCAACUCGACUCCUUG
rnacentral:rRNA from 1 species